rnacentral:rRNA from 1 species
GACGAACGCUGGCGGCGUGCUUAACACAUGCAAGUCGUACGGUAAGGCCCUUUCCGGGGUCCACGAGUGGCGAACGGGGGAGUAACACGUGCGUAACCUUCCCCCAACUUUGGGAUAACGCUAGGAAACUGGUGCUAAUACUGGAUAUGUGCUCCUGCUGCAUGGUGGGGGUUGGAAAGCUCCGGCGGUUGUGGAUGGACUCGCGGCCUAUCAGCUUGUUGGGGGGGUAGUGGGCUACCAAGGCGGCUGCGGGUAGCCGGCCAGAGGGGGUGACCGGCGACAUUGGGUCUGAGAUGCGGCAGAGGCUCCGACGGGAGGCAACAGGGGGGAAUAUUGCACAAGGGGCGCAAGCCUGGUGCAGAAGCGCCGCGGGCGGGAUGACGGCCUUCGGGUUGAAAACCGCUUUCAGCAGGGACGAAGCUUUUUGUGACGGUACCUGCAGAAGAAGCACCGGCUAACUACGUG